AUGAACGCUGGCGGCGUGCUUCACACAUGCACGUCGAACGGAAAGGCCCAAGCUUGCUUGGGUACUCGAGUGGCGAACGGGUGAGUAACACGUGGGUGAUCUGCCCUGCACUUCGGGAUAAGCCUGGGAAACUGGGUCUAAUACCGGAUAGGACCACAUUUUGGAUGGUGUGGUGGAAAGUUUUUCGGUGUGGGAUGAGCUCGCGGCCUAUCAGCUUGUUGGUGGGGUAAUGGCCUACCAAGGCGUCGACGGGUAGCCGGCCUGAGAGGGUGUACGGCCACAUUGGGACUGAGAUACGGCCCAGACUCCUACGGGAGGUAGCAGUGGGGAAUAUUGCACAAUGGGCGCAAGCCUGAUGCAGCGACGCCGCGUGGGGGAUGACGGCCUUCGGGUUGUAAACUCCUUUCGCUAGGGACGAAGCGUUUUUGUGACGGUACCUGGAGAAGAAGCACCGGCUAACUACGUG
rnacentral:rRNA from 1 species